rnacentral:rRNA from 1 species
AGCAGCCGCGGUAAUUCCAGCUCCAAUAGCGUAUAUUAAAGUUGUUGCAGUUAAAGAGCUCGUAGUUGAACUUCGGGGUUUACUCAUUGGUCAGGCUUAAUUGUCUGUACUGGUGAGAUAAAUCUCUACCUUCUGAGGAACUUUCAUGCCAUUUAUUUGGUGUGAUUGGAAAUCAGGACUGUUACUUUGAAAAAUUAGAGUGUUUAAAGCAGGCUAACGUCUGAAUACAUUAGCAUGGAAUAAUGAAAUAGGACGGAUUGAUUCUAUUUCGUUGGUUUCUAGGGUCACCGUAAUGAUUAAUAGGGAUAGUUGGGGGCAUUAGUAUUCAAUUGUCAGAGGUGAAAUUCUUGGAUUUAUUGAAGACUAACUACUGCGAAAGCAUUUGCCAAGGAUGUUUUCAUUAAUCAAGAACGAAAGUUAGGGGAUCGAAGACGAUCAGAUACCGUCGUAGUCUUAACCAUAAACUAUGCCGACUAGGGAUCGGAUGAUGUUAAUUUUUAAUGACUCAUUCGGCGUCCG